UCAAGCUGCAAGACAGCGAUGCAUUUAUGGUCAAUUCGAUUGUAGAGCUCGAGACAGCAAGAUGUUUUCCGGCAGCAAUAUUCUCCGUUUUAUCUAUCAGCUAUUUGUGACAAUUCUUCUGCUAAAUAUUGCAAGCGGCUACAUUAACAUCCAGCAACGGGGAGGAUGUUGCCAAAAUCAAAUGACAAAGUUCCCGAGUUCAAUCAAUCGCCGAUGUCCUUGGAAGACUUAAUUAAUAAUAAUGUUAUGGGAAAUCGUCGCAGAAAAUAUUAAAUGGAGUUUUUUUUCGAAUUUUGUAUAAGUAAAGAAAAAUAUAGAAUAUAACUGGA